rnacentral:rRNA from 1 species
AUUAACGCUGGCAGAAUGCAUAACACAUGCAAGUCGAGCGGGGGUGGCGGAUUAUUGCGCCCUAGCGGCAGACGAGUGAGUAACACGUAAAUAACCUGCCCCUGAAAGGCGAACAACUCUCCGAAAGGAGUGCUAAUACGCCGUAUAAUCCACCGAAGGCAUCUUCGGAGGAUGAGAGAUCGCAAGCUCGUUCAGGGAGGGAUUUGCGGCCCAUCAGCUAGUUGGCAGUGUAACGGACUACCAAGGCUAUGACGGGUACCCGGCCUGAAAGGGCGGACGGGCACGAAGGAACUGAGACACGGGCCUUACUCCUACGGGAGGCAGCAGUGGGGAAGUUUGGACAAUGGGCGAAAGCCUGAUCCAGCAAGUCUGCGUGAGGGACGAAGUUCUUCGGAAUGUAAACCUCUUUUAGUGGGGACGAACACCCGCAAGGGUUUGACGGUACCCAGUGAAUAAGCCACGGCUAACUAUGU